rnacentral:lncRNA from 1 species
UCUAAAUGCGUGUGGAAACAGUUUCAAUUCUCUUCAAAAAUUAAUAUGCAAAAGCAGCGGCAUAAUGUUAGUAAUGUUAAAUCUGCUUUAAAAGGUACCUGGAAUACAGUUCAAUUUGAUCCAUUUCCUGGUGUUCUAUAAAGAGUUUAGUUUUCCUGUUUAGUCUUUAUAUGAAGGUAAUUUGCCUUACCUCCUAGCCUAAAGUCUUAAACUUCCAAUAGAUUAUUAACGUUUUUCUCCCUCAUCGUUUAUAUCCCAUGGACCCCAUCAUUCAGCUGCUCUGCAAUUGAUGUAAUUGGGUGAUACUCCAUACUCACCAAAAUGAUAUUGCAAACACAUUGUGAUUUGGAGCUUUAAGGAUGCAAGUCCAAGGGAUGUUCAUGAGAUGUGGGAUGAUUUCCGCAAGGCCUUGAACUUGCAGAUGCCACGAAUCAAUUCGUUGUUUUCAUUUGAUGUUAAUACUUUCUUCUUUGACCAGAUAAAGAGAGUCGACAAUUGAAAAUCAUCAUUGUUAUCCAUGUUAUCUCUUUCUUUUCUGUUGAGGAGCAUGAUUCCCUUCUCUUCAUGUUUUGCAUGAUCUACAAUAAUUACCCGAUUCUGUUUGUGAUGCAUUGAAAUAUGUAUUCAUUAGUACUCUUUCAGAAGGAAAAAAAAUGGCCAGAUGCCUCAGAAUGGGGCAAAGGUGAGUAUAUUAGAUGCCAGAAUAUCAGGGGUAACAGGUCGGAUUUUGUUUCAUAAUAGAUAAAAGCUUCACCGAAAAUACAAAACUAUCUAUUGAGUUUUCAGCUUUGUGCUUCACAGAAGUUGUGAGUGUGUCCAUUCAUUUGGAAAAUCCAUAAUUGACCUUGACCAGUUAUGUUCUUGAGAUUUUCCUAGCUCUAGCACUGUGCUCUAAGUACUUAAUAAUGACUCAUAAGUACGAGAACUUCAUGCAAAAGGUGAGGGCAAUUAACCGAGUUACAUGGAUCCCUCAGGAUAUUCCUUUAUGCUUACAUUUUCUUAUGAAGUUUUCAUUACUUAGCCAGUUGUUCGUUCUACUUGCUGAUAGAUUUUCUAAUGAAGUUUUCAUUAACCAGCCGACCACGUUCUUGAUAUUGCUGUGUAUUUACUGCCUCCUUUUAGCAUGAGGUUAUGGAAAUAACGAAUUCAAUAACAGAUUCAUUGUUUUUCUU